rnacentral:rRNA from 1 species
CCUACGGGGGGCAGCAGUGAGGAAUAUUGGUCAAUGGGCGUAAGCCUGAACCAGCCAAGUCGCGUGAGGGAUGAAGGUUCUAUGGAUCGUAAACCUCUUUUAUAAGGGAAUAAAGUGUGGGACGUGUCCUGUUUUGUAUGUACCUUAUGAAUAAGGAUCGGCUAACUCCGUGCCAGCAGCCGCGGUAAUACGGAGGAUCCGAGCGUUAUCCGGAUUUAUUGGGUUUAAAGGGUGCGUAGGCGGCCUUUUAAGUCAGCGGGGAAAGUCUGUGGCUCAACCAUAGAGUUGCCGUUGAAACUGGGAGUCUUGAGUAUGUGUGAGGCAGGCGGAAUGCGUGGUGUAGCGGUGAAAUGCUUAGAUAUCACGCAGAACCCCGAUUGCGAAGGCAGCCUGCCAGGCCAUGACUGACGCUGAUGCACGAAAGCGUGGGGAUCAAACAGGAUUAGAUACCCCUGUAGUC